UACGUAGGUGGCAAGCGUUGUCCGGAUUUACUGGGCGUAAAGGAUGCGUAGGCGGACAUUUAAGUCAGAUGUGAAAUACCCGAGCUUAACUUGGGUGCUGCAUUUGAAACUGGGUGUCUAGAGUGCAGGAGAGGUAAGUGGAAUUCCUAGUGUAGCGGUGAAAUGCGUAGAGAUUAGGAAGAACACCAGUGGCGAAGGCGACUACCUGGCCUGUUUCUUGACGCUGAGGCGCGAAAGCUAGGGGAGCAAACGGG
rnacentral:rRNA from 1 species